GACGAACGCUGGCGGCGUGCCUAACACAUGCAAGUCGAGCGGGGGGAGUACUUCGGUACAAACCUAGCGGCGGACGGGUGAGUAACACAUGGGUAACCUGCCUCAACGUGGGGGAUAGCCUUCCGAAAGGAAGAUUAAUACCGCAUAACCCAUAGCUUCCGCAUGGAAGCAAUGGUAAAGAUUUAUCGCUUUGAGAUGGACCCGCGGCGCAUUAGCUAGUUGGUGAGGUAACGGCUCACCAAGGCCACGAUGCGUAGCCGACCUGAGAGGGGGAUCGGCCACAUUGGAACUGAGACACGGUCCAGACUCCUACGGGAGGCAACAGUGGGGAAUAUUGCACAAUGGGCGAAAGCCUGAUGCAGCAACGCCGCGUGAGUGAUGAAGGCCUUCGGGUCGUAAAGCACUUUUCUGGGAGAUGAGAAAGGACAGUAUCCCAGGAAUAAGUCUCGGCUAACUACGUGCCAGCAGCCGCGGUAACAC
rnacentral:rRNA from 1 species